GACGAACCGAGCGAACGUUAUUCGGAAUCACUGGGCUUAAAGGGCGCGUAGGCGGGCCAUCAAGUCAGGGGUGAAAGCCCCCAGCUCAACUGGGGAAGUGCCUCUGAUACUGGUGGCCCCGAGGGAGGUAGGGGCGUGCGGAACUUCCGGUGGAGCGGUGAAAUGCGUAGAUAUCGGAAGGAACAUCGGUGGCGAAAGCGGCGCGCUGGACCUCUUCUGACGCUGAGGCGCGAAAGCCAGGGGAGCAAACGGG
rnacentral:rRNA from 1 species